CUAAGAAUAUUCCGCAAUGGACGAAAGUCUGACGGAGCGACGCCGCGUGUGCGAAGAAGGCCUUCGGGUCGUAAAGCACUUUUUGGAAGGAAUAGGAGGGAAUGUACUUCCAGAAUAAGUCUCGGCUAACUACGUGCCAGCAGCCGCGGUAACACGUAGGAGGCGAACGUUAUCCGGAUUUACUGGGCGUAAAGCGCGUGUAGGUGGUUCUGUAAGUAGGGCGUGAAAGCUCCUGGCUCAACUGGGAGAGGCCGUUCUAAACUACAGAACUAGAGGAUGGUAGAGGGAGGUGGAAUUCCAGGUGUAGCGGUGGAAUGCGCAGAUAUCUGGAGGAACACCAGUGGCGAAGGCGGCCUCCUGGACCAUUCCUGACACUCAGACGCGAAAGCUAGGGUAGCAAACG
rnacentral:rRNA from 1 species